rnacentral:tRNA from 1 species
UCCCUGGUGGCUCAGAUGGCAAAGAAUCUGCCUGCCAUGCAGAAGACCUGGAUUCUAUUUCUGGCUCAGGAA